AGAGUUUGAUCCUGGCUCAGAACGAACGCUGGCGGCAGGCUUAACACAUGCAAGUCGAACGCCCCGCAAGGGGAGUGGCAGACGGGUGAGUAACGCGUGGGAACAUACCCUUUCCUGCGGAAUAGCUCCGGGAAACUGGAAUUAAUACCGCAUACGCCCUACGGGGGAAAGAUUUAUCGGGGAAGGAUAGGCCCGCGUUGGAUUAGCUAGUUGGUGGGGUAAAGGCCUACCAAGGCGACGAUCCAUAGCUGGUCUGAGAGGAUGAUCAGCCACAUUGGGACUGAGACACGGCCCAAACUCCUACGGGAGGCAGCAGUGGGGAAUAUUGGACAAUGGGCGCAAGCCUGAUCCAGCCAUGCCGCGUGAGUGAUGAAGGCCUUAGGGUUGUAAAGCUCUUUCACCGGAGAAGAUAAUGACGGUAUCCGGAGAAGAAGCCCCGGCUAACUUCGUGCCAGCCGCCGCGGUAAUAC
rnacentral:rRNA from 1 species